UACGUAGGGUGCGAGCGUUGUCCGGAAUUAUUGGGCGUAAAGGGCUCGUAGGCGGGUUGGUAAGUCCGCUGUGAAAGCCCGGAGCUCAACUCCGGAGGGUCGGUGGAUACUGCCAGUCUUGAAGGUGCUAGGGGGAGAUGGAAUUACCGGUGUAGCGGUGAAAUGCGUAGAUAUCGGUAGGAACACCAGUGGCGAAGGCGGUCUCCUGGGGCAUUCUUGACGCUGAGGCGCGAAAGCUGGGGGAGCGAACGGG
rnacentral:rRNA from 1 species